AACGCUGGCGGCGUGCUUAACACAUGCAAGUCGAACGGAAAGGCCCUGCUUUUGUGGGGUGCUCGAGUGGCGAACGGGUGAGUAACACGUGAGUAACCUGCCCUUGACUUUGGGAUAACUUCAGGAAACUGGGGCUAAUACCGGAUAGGAGCUCCUGCUGCAUGGUGGGGGUUGGAAAGUUUCGGCGGUUGGGGAUGGACUCGCGGCUUAUCAGCUUGUUGGUGGGGUAGUGGCUUACCAAGGCUUUGACGGGUAGCCGGCCUGAGAGGGUGACCGGCCACAUUGGGACUGAGAUACGGCCCAGACUCCUACGGGAGGCAGCAGUGGGGAAUAUUGCACAAUGGGCGGAAGCCUGAUGCAGCAACGCCGCGUGCGGGAUGACGGCCUUCGGGUUGUAAACCGCUUUCGCCUGUGACGAAGCGUGAGUGACGGUAAUGGGUAAAGAAGCACCGGCUAACUACGUGCCAGCAGCCGCGGUGAUACGUAGGGUGCGAGCGUUGUCCGGAUUUAUUGGGCGUAAAGGGCUCGUAGGUGGUUGAUCGCGUCGGAAGUGUAAUCUUGGGGCUUAACCCUGAGCGUGCUUUCGAUACGGGUUGACUUGAGGAAGGUAGGGGAGAAUGGAAUUCCUGGUGGAGCGGUGGAAUGCGCAGAUAUCAGGAGGAACACCAGUGGCGAAGGCGGUUCUCUGGGCCUUUCCUGACGCUGAGGAGCGAAAGCGUGGGGAGCGAACAGGCUUAGAUACCCUGGUAGUCCACGCUGUAAACGGUGGGUACUAGGUGUGGGGUCCAUUCCACGGGUUCCGUGCCGUAGCUAACGCUUUAAGUACCCCGCCUGGGGAGUACGGCCGCAAGGCUAAAACUCAAAGGAAUUGACGGUGCCCCGCACAAGCGGCGGAGCAUGCGGAUUAAUUCGAUGCAACGCGUAGAACCUUACCUGGGUUUGACAUGGAUCGGGAGUGCUCAGAGAUGGGUGUGCCUCUUUUGGGGUCGGUUCACAGGUGGUGCAUGGCUGUCGUCAGCUCGUGUCGUGAGAUGUUGGGUUAAGUCCCGCAACGAGCGCAACCCUUGUUCACUGUUGCCAGCACGUUAUGGUGGGGACUCAGUGGAGACCGCCGGGGUCAACUCGGAGGAAGGUGGGGAUGACGUCAAGUCAUCAUGCCCCUUAUGUCCAGGGCUUCACGCAUGCUACAAUGGCUGGUACAGAGAGUGGCGAGCCUGUGAGGGUGAGCGAAUCUCGGAAAGCCGGUCUCAGUUCGGAUUGGGGUCUGCAACUCGACCUCAUGAAGUCGGAGUCGCUAGUAAUCGCAGAUCAGCAACGCUGCGGUGAAUACGUUCCCGGGGCUUGUACACACCGCCCGUCAAGUCAUGAAAGUUGGUAACACCCGAAGCCGGUGGCCUAACCGUUGUGGGGGAGCCGUCGAAGGUGGGACUGGUGAUUAGGACUAAGUC
rnacentral:rRNA from 1 species